CUCUGAAAAAUUCUUCAAAAUCACAAAUCAAAUCGAAAUUUUCACUUUUCAGAAUCGUAAUCUGUCUGUAUCAAUUUGUACCGUUAUCCUCUUCAAUAUUUCACUCUCUCUGUAUCAAUCUGUACCCUUAUCCUCUUCAAUAUCUCUCUAUAUUUGCCGGUUUGAUUCUCUCUCUAAAACUUCCAGACUGAAAACGUAUGCUUCGUGUUGCUUCGCUGUGCUCUUAAAGAAGGGAUUAUAUAUUAUAAAAAAAAUAAUAUUUUAUUAUUAUUAUUAUUAUUUUUGCUUUAAAUUCUACGCGCUUUGACGCGCCGACUAAUCAAAU
rnacentral:lncRNA from 1 species